CAGAGUUCCAGACACUGGAACUCUGGGGUCAGGCUCAAAGCUAUUCACCAACGUAGAGAAUAUAAGGAGGAGAAAGGACUAGAAAGACACCUGCUUCUACUUUGUGAAGGAUCUAAGGCCCCAGCAAAGUUCUAAACCCGUGCCCUCAGGGAGAGGAGAGGACACCAUCUGUUCUGCUUCCAUUUCCAAAGUGGGAGGUGUGGUCCUGCUUCUUACUAUCUGGAGACUCUGUUCCAUUUGGAAGGAGGGUCGGUCACCCUCAAAUGGCAACAGUCCCUACAAACGUGAGAUGACUCCUGCUAAAGGUUAUCUGUCAUGUCAGCCUUGAAGACCUGAGACCCCAGCCUGAAAUUUGGACUUCGGGCUGCUAACGAGGCAACUGAGAACCCCAGAGCUUGAGCGACUGAGCAGUGUGUCCCUGAUGUUCCGGGCAGCUCCUGCUGCAGAACAAGCAACCUGAACUCUCAGUGGUGCAAAGCAGUGAGCAUUUAUUUCUCACUCCCAGGUUUGUGGGUUGGCGCUGGUACCCCACGCGUCCCGGGACCAGCAGACCAGCUGGGACACAUACUUUCCCAAGCAGUGGCUGGAGCAUGUAAGUCCCACUGCAAAGCUCAUUUCAAGCCCCUGCUUGCAUCACAUCUGUCAACUCCCACGUUAUAGGACGCACUGUUGCACUUUCAAUUAAGGCUUUGGGUUCUUCAGAAGAAGAGAAAAGAGACAGAUCUAUGCUUGUUGGCACUGCAGUCCAUUCAGACUGCUUUAUGGGUGUGCAGUCAAAUAAAAACAGCAUUUUAAA